UACGUAGGGUGCAAGCGUUGUCCGGAAUUAUUGGGCGUAAAGAGCUCGUAGGCGGCUUGUCACGUCGAUCGUGAAAACUUGGGGCUUAACCCUGAGCUUGCGGUCGAUACGGGCAUGACUGGAGUUCGGCAGGGGAGACUGGAAUUCCUGGUGUAGCGGUGAAAUGCGCAGAUAUCAGGAGGAACACCGGUGGCGAAGGCGGGUCUCUGGGCCGAUACUGACGCUGAGGAGCGAAAGCGUGGGGAGCGAACAGG
rnacentral:rRNA from 1 species